GGAAUAUUGGUCAAUGGGCGAGAGCCUGAACCAGCCAUGCCGCGUGCAGGAAGACGGCCUUCUGGGUUGUAAACUGCUUUUCUACAGGAAGAAAAAGGUCAUGCGUCACCAAUUGCCGGUACUGUAGGCAUAAGCACCGGCUAACCCCGGACCAGCAGCCGCGGUAAUACGGAGGGUGCAAGCGUUGUCCGGAUUUAUUGGGUUUAAAGGGUGCGUAGGCGGGUCUUUAAGUCCGUGGUGAAAGCCCAUCGCUCAACGAUGGAACUGCCAUGGAUACUGGGGACCUUGAAUUCAGUUGAGGUAGGCGGAAUUGAUGGUGUAGCGGUGAAAUGCAUAGAUACCAUCAGGAACACCGAUUGCGAAGGCAGCUUACUGGGCUUGAAUUGACGCUGAGGCACGAAAGCGUGGGGAUCGAA
rnacentral:rRNA from 1 species